rnacentral:rRNA from 1 species
ACACUCCUACGGGAGGCAGCAGUGGGGAAUAUUGGACAAUGGGCGCAAGCCUGAUCCAGCCAUGCCGCGUGAGUGAUGAAGGCCCUAGGGUUGUAAAGCUCUUUCACCGGUGAAGAUAAUGACGGUAACCGGAGAAGAAGCCCCGGCUAACUUCGUGCCAGCAGCCGCGGUAAUACGAAGGGGGCUAGCGUUGUUCGGAUUUACUGGGCGUAAAGCGCACGUAGGCGGACUAUUAAGUCAGGGGUGUAAUCCCGGGGCUCAACCCCGGAACUGCCUUUGAUACUGGUAGUCUUGAGUUCGAGAGAGGUGAGUGGAAUUCCGAGUGUAGAGGUGAAAUUCGUAGAUAUUCGGAGGAACACCAGUGGCGAAGGCGGCUCACUGGCUCGAUACUGACGCUGAGGUGCGAAAGCGUGGGGAGCAAACAGGAUUAGAAACCCCGGUAGUCCCA